rnacentral:SRP_RNA from 1 species
GCCAGGCGUGGUGGCGGGCGCCUGUAUUCCCGGCUACUUGGGAGGCUGAGGCAGGAGAAUUGCUUGAACCCAGGAGGCAGAGGUUGCAGUGAGCCAAGACCAUGCCACUGCACUCCAGCCUGGGUGACAGAGCAAGACUCCGUCUCAA